rnacentral:rRNA from 1 species
UACGUAGGGUGCAAGCGUUAAUCGGAAUUACUGGGCGUAAAGCGUGCGCAGGCGGUGAUGUAAGUCCGAUGUGAAAUCCCCGGGCUUAACCUGGGAACUGCAUUGGUGACUGCAUUGCUAGAGUAUGGCAGAGGGGGGUUGAAUUCCACGUGUAGCAGUGAAAUGCGUAGAGAUGUGGAGGAACACCGAUGGCGAAGGCAGCCCCCUGGGCCAAUACUGACGCUCAUGCACGAAAGCGUGGGGAGCAAACAGG